GAUGAACGCUGGCGGCGUGCCUAAUACAUGCAAGUCGAGCGAACGGACGAUAAUCUUUCUUCUCUUUUGUUUUCGGCUGACGUGUGUUUAACACGUUUAUCACCUACCUAUUUUUCUUGUAUAACUUCGUGAAACCGGAUCUAAUACCGUCUAAUAUUUUGAACCGCAUUGUUCAAUAGUUAAAUACGUUCUUUCUUUCUCUUAUAGAUUGUUCCGCGCUGCAUUAUCUAGUUGGUAAGGUAACGGCUUACCAAGGCAACGAUGCAUAGCCGACCUGAGAGGGUGAUCGGCAACACUGGAAGUGAGACACGGACCAGAGUACUACGGGAGGAAGAAGUAGGGAAGAUGACGCAAUGGGCGAAAGCAUGACGGAGCAAAGCGGCGUGAGUGAUGAAGGAGUUCGGAUCGUAAAAAUAUGUUAUGAGGGAAGAAAAAAAGUGUAAGAAAAAGUGCACAGAAUGACGGUAAAAAAAAAGAAAGAAACGGCUAAAUACGUG
rnacentral:rRNA from 1 species